rnacentral:rRNA from 1 species
CAUGCAAGUCGAGCGGAUGACGGGAGCUUGCUCCUUGAUUCAGCGGCGGACGGGUGAGUAAUGCCUAGGAAUCUGCCUGGUAGUGGGGGACAACGUUUCGAAAGGAACGCUAAUACCGCAUACGUCCUACGGGAGAAAGCAGGGGACCUUCGGGCCUUGCGCUAUCAGAUGAGCCUAGGUCGGAUUAGCUAGUUGGUGGGGUAAUGGCUCACCAAGGCGACGAUCCGUAACUGGUCUGAGAGGAUGAUCAGUCACACUGGAACUGAGACACGGUCCAGACUCCUACGGGAGGCAGCAGUGGGGAAUAUUGGACAAUGGGCGAAAGCCUGAUCCAGCCAUGCCGCGUGUGUGAAGAAGGUCUUCGGAUUGUAAAGCACUUUAAGUUGGGAGGAAGGGCAGUAAGCUAAUACCUUGCUGUUUUGACGUUACCGACAGAAUAAGCACCGGCUAACUCUGUGCCAGCAGCCGCGGUAAUACAGAGGGUGCAAGC